UACGGGGGGGGGUAAGCGUUGUUCGGAAUUACUGGGCGUAAAGGGCUCGUAGGCGGCCAACUAAGUCAGACGUGAAAUCCCUCAGCUUAACUGGGGAACUGCGUCUGAUACUGGAUGGCUUGGAUUCGGGAGAGGAAUGCGGAAUUCCAGGUGUAGCGGUGAAAUGCGUAGAUAUCUGGAGGAAUACCGGUGGCGAAGGCGGCAUCCUGGACCGAGAUUGACACUGAUGAGCGAAAGCUAGGGGAGCAAACGGG
rnacentral:rRNA from 1 species